AGCCGUGUGACGGACACAUAGCGAACUAUUCUUUCGCCUUUUACUAAAGAAUACCGUGUGUUCAUCACUUAAAAGCGGCAUACGCUAGUUUUUGGAAGAGCCUUCUAUAUAGAGGCUC
rfam:Cajanus cajan chromosome 7, whole genome shotgun sequence.